GGUGGUUCUGGUGUUGAAAGCGUGAAGGGAUCACAGUGAGCAGCUGCAGCUUGGCACUCUGAGAGGCCAGGAAGGCCAUAGGUGAAAGUGCAGCCUCAGUUGCAGUAAAGACCCCAGGACUGAAGGGUCAUGGAGUGAAUCUGAAGCAUUGUACCCCAAGAGGCCAGAAGAAGCCAUUGGUGAGAGUGCAGUCUCAGUUUCAGUGGAGACCCCAGCUUUUUGGAGAUGGUAGGACCAUGGGAGAACCACCAAUGGCAGUAGCAGGUGUGGAAUGGAACUGCCCUGGGUCUGUGAGACCAGCUGUGUGUGCUGUGGACAGGAGAGUCAGAGAAGUGGAGUUGCUCAAACCUUUUGGAGCCCAUAAGAUGCUCCUGCCUCCAGGUUCCUGCCCUGAGUUCCUUCCAUGGGAUUACUGAUGAACUGCAACUCUGGAAUUUUUUCUCAGAGAUGUUGUCUGUCUCUACGGAACACAAAUAAAAAGGAAAACAGACCUAGAGGAAUAUUUCCCCAAAGAAACAGUCCCUGCGUUGGAUAUUUGUUACAGGCAAAGAGCUUGGAGAUGGAGGGUUAGAGGACAGAUGCCCCACCCUGAGUUCAACCUUGAACUUCAAGAGAACAUGGAGAGAAUCACAAGCCAAAUGGUUCUCAGCAACAUGAUGCUCAAUUAAGCUUUCUGUGAUUAGACUUGAAGCAAAGAGUUCUAACUAAAAGAAAAUCCUGCUGUGCCUUACAGGAGAACAAGAGAUGUAUGUAUCCAAGUCCUGAGCGAUGUGACACCACUGCCUAUCAGAUGUGUGGGGUGAGAGAAGUCAAAUGAAUAAGCCUUAUGGUUUCAGAUGUUACUAGACUACUCAUUUUUCUUUGUCACGAUGGGAAGACAAGAUGAGAUAUCACAAAGUGAGGCCAAACACUGGAGGUCUGACAACAGGGAACAAGAGAAAAUGGGAUUAGACAACAGCAUGAGGGAUUUGGAAUAGAAAUAAGAAUUUCCUGAUUAUGUAGACUCUCAAACAGUAAAAUGUGCUUUGGAGGAAGUAUGUGGACAUCAGUUUAUUUUGAUGCCUUCAGAAAACAGAAAGGCACAUUUUCACCAUUUGGGCUCAUAUGUGUGAAGAGCAGGAGACCAGAUGAUACAUGGUCAGGAUUCUCUUCAUCUAUGAGCAGAAUCUAAAAAUGGGACAUGGUGAACAAGGAGCAGCAGCUAUUUUCAAAUAGUAGUUAUUGUCUGAUGUCAACUUUUCUCAUGGGGACAGACUGGCAAAUUUCACCUGUACUGGAAAUGCUAAACUGAGUGGAAUGUCAUGAAAUAAGGGCUACUCAAAUUUUCUGUUGGCUUGCAUCAUUCUCAUUUUGCCCUCACCCACUAAGUAAGUGCUCAGUUUUCUUCUACUGUGACUGUGUAAAUAUCAAAGCGAAAUUAUUGGUCAUCCUGUUUGGUGACAUCUAUCCUUGGGAUGAAUGUUAGGAAAUCAUCCAUGACACUCCAGACAAGGAACCCUUAAGAAUCCAAAGACAUGUCUCUUACAUGGCACCAUGCCUCAGGUGAGAACAAGUGAAGCUACAAAUUUCUAAGCAUCCAGGUGUGCCUUUAAUUCAGCAGGUAUUGAGGAGCACUAUGAUUGGCUGCGGCAGACUUUCUCAACCAAAACUGUAUGCUAGUUUCCUGGGUAUCUUUACAUAUAAUGAAUGAAUUUCUUCCCUUUGUAUAGAGUACAGCAUUCGGUAGAUUUAAUCCAUAAGAUCACUGAGAAAACUUGUCACACAGUCAUGUUUCUGUGCUCUGUGGUUCAGAUGAAAGACCCUACUUUGAAAAGCUUCAAGUGUGGAGGAUGAAAUGACCAGCAAAACAGAGCUCACCUUCUAGAACUAGACUGGACUGUAUCAAUGAGAUGUGUUUUGUAGCUCUGUUGCCUAUAAGGUAACUGGUGGGCACAUGUGUCUAUUAAGUAUUUGAGAUGCAAUUGGUACAAUCGAGGAGAUGAAAUUAAUUCAAUAAUAACCCAUGUAAGUUGAAAGAGCCACCUAUAAGGAAUGGUUACCGUGUUGAACAACGCAGCUUUUGAAGUCAUCACAAUACUCAGUGUAAGAGCUAACAAAGGGUAAGUCCAGGUGCCAUGAAAGCAUGGUGGUGAGGAAGCUGACAUGCUAGUGGUGAUGGUUGGAGUGAAGAUGUCUGGGAGGAAAUGCCUGCUGGGAUGAGACUCAAAGGACAAGUGAUAGACUCUGGAAAAUAUGGUGAAGAAAAGGCUAAGAAGCUCACAUGUGCGAGGAAACUGAGAAGGUACAGGGCACGGUGAGAGACGGAUGCAAAGACGGAUGGCAUGUGCCUAUGAAGGCUUGGGGAAAUAGGAGCUCGGUGAGUCCACAGAGCACUGUUGUAGCCAGGGGCCAGGAGAUGAUACCCACACUAUCUCAGGGGUGGCAGGAAGUGGUUAAGCGUUUGAAACCUUGGAAUGCCGUGGUCCUGUUUGUGGUUUGCAGACUUCUCUGGUUGCCACUUGGCAGUGUGGAGGGAAAUACUGGAGGAAUGAUGCAAUAAUCCAGAUGACGGAGGAGCACUGCUACCACAGCAGCACAGACGGUGGAACUAAGUAUCUGCAUAGAAGAAGGAAACAUGUCGAAAGGAUCAUUGGACUCUGAGUCAUGGGUGGUAGAGAGAGAAGGUGGAACCUUUGUCUCUGAUUUGAGUAAAUGAUCAUGCCACUUAUUUAAAGGUGAUAUGGGAUCAUUUAGAAAUUGUCUCUAUUUAAUGAAUUAAUUUAUUUAUUGUUUUUUGACACAGGGUUUCCCUGUAGCCCCAGCUUGCCUGGAACUGGCUAUGCAGAUCAGGCUGACCACAAUCUCACAGAGAUCUGUCUGUCUUUAACUCCAGAGUACUGAGAUUAAAGCGUGCGUUUUGCCAGUCUUCCAAACCCCGGCCCUCCUCUGCAUCAGCUGCUUGGCUGAGGCCAAGGCCAAAAUCACCCAGAGCGAGGACCAGCCUGUCAUUUGGCCUGAGCAAAGUAGAUGGCUGACUGGGCACACAGACUAACAAAGCGGUCACAGUGAGGAAGACACCAGAGGGGGGCCUUCGGCUCAAGGUUGUCCUGGGGAUUAGCCCUAGGAGUCUGGGAGAUGCAAGCACGGGAAGGGUAAAGGAAAAUGUGCAAAGAUGUUGUAUUCCAUCCAGUCCACGCUUCUAGAGGAAUGGAAAGGGAGCAGACCCCAUCCUUCAGCCAACAGGUACUACUACUACUGAAGUCUCUGCCGGCCGACACUCCCAGGACACAAGCUGAGGCUGUGAUUGGAAGCUAAUGUUGGGAUGAUCACAUUGAAGAGUCUGAAAGCUGAGAGGAAAUUUCUCCAAAGCCAUCCAAGCCAGGCUUGUGACCUGAAGCCCAGGGCUUGUCACCCCCUCUCUGAGCUCAGAACUACAAAGGCUAGCUGGCAUUCUCCAACCCGCCCAGCUCCUUUCAAACCCACAGACUGUGCCAGACUUGGCCCCACCUCCCCCUGCAGCAGAUUCUGUAGCCCAGCUCCAUGCUGUGCUUCAGGGAGCCAGAUUUCCGUUUUAAUUGUCCUACCUGGCCAUCCCCUCUGCCACUAGCCCUGGUUCUUGGUUCUUGGCAAGGUUUCAAAGGCCCAAUCAAUGGCCUACCCUCCCCCAUCAUAAUCUUCAAUGCCUGUAGUUCCUCCUUCCCCAAAAUGUAUUCCUUUCAAAUAAAAUCUUCUCAGCAGUUUCUCA